UGGACUAUGAACAGAUGCGUUGCGUUUGC
rnacentral:sRNA from 1 species